rnacentral:rRNA from 1 species
UACGGAGGGUGCGAGCGUUACCCGGAUUUACUGGGUGUAAAGCGUGCGCAGGCGGUUAUGUAAGACAGAGGUGAAAUCCCCGGGCUCAACCUGGGAACUGCCUUUGUGACUGCAUGACUAGAGUACGGCAGAGGGGGAUGGAAUUCCGCGUGUAGCAGUGAAAUGCGUAGAUAUGCGGAGGAACACCGAUGGCGAAGGCAAUCCCCUGGGCCUGUACUGACGCUCAUGCACGAAAGCGUGGGGAGCAAACAGG